rnacentral:rRNA from 1 species
GACGAACGCUGACGGCGUGCUUAACACAUGCAAGUCGAACGGAAAGGCUCCAGCUUGCUGGAGUACUCGAGUGGCGAACGGGUGAGUAACACGUGGGUAAUCUGCCCUGCACUCUGGGAUAAGCCUGGGAAACUGGGUCUAAUACUGGAUAUGACCUUUCUCCUUAUGGGGUUUGGUGGAAAGUUUUUCGGUGUAGGAUGAGCCCGCGGCCUAUCAGCUUGUUGGUGGGGUGAUGGCCUACCAAGGCGACGACGGGUAGCCGGCCUGAGAGGGUGAUCGGCCACAUUGGGACUGAGAUACGGCCCAGACUCCUACGGGAGGCAGCAGUGGGGAAUAUUGCACAAUGGGCGGAAGCCUGAUGCAGCGACGCCGCGUGAGGGAUGACGGCCUUCGGGUUGUAAACCUCUUUCAGCAGGGACGAAGCGUAAGUGACGGUACCUGCAGAAGAAGCACCGGCUAACUACGUG